CCUACGGGGGGCAGCAGUGGGGAAUAUUGCACAAUGGGGGAAACCCUGAUGCAGCGAUGCCGCGUGAAGGAAGAAGGCCUUCGGAUCGUAAACUACUAUCAGCAGGGAGGAAGAAAGUGACAGUACUUGACCAAGAAGUCACGGCAAACUACGAGCCAGCAGCCGCGAGAACACGUCGGGGGCACGCGUUAUCCGGAAUCACUGGGUGUAAAGGGGGAGUAGGCGGCCCUGCAGGUCAGGAGGUAAAUCCCUGGGCUCAACCGGGGAUAGCUCUUGAAACUGUAGGGCUUGAGUGCAGGAGAGGUAAGCGGAAUUCCUGGUGUAGCGGUGAAAUGCGUAGAUAUUAGGAGGAACACCAGUGGCGAAGGCGGCUCUCUGGACUGCAACUGACGCUGAGGCACGAAAGCGUGGGGAGCGAACAGGAUUAGAUACCCUUGUAGUC
rnacentral:rRNA from 1 species